UGAGAACGAACUCUGGUAUUGAUUGGUGCUUGCAUCAUGAUUUACAUUUGAGUGAGUGGCGAACUGGUGAGUAACACGUGGGAAACCUGCCCAGAAGMGGGGGAUAACACCUGGAAACAGAUGCUAAUACCGCAUAACAACUUGGACCGCAUGGUCCRAGYUUGAAAGAUGGCUUCGGCUAUCACUUYUGGAUGGUCCCGCGGCGUAUUAGCUAGAUGGUGRGGUAACGGCUCACCAUGGCAAUGAUACGUAGCCGACCUGAGAGGGUAAUCGGCCACAUUGGGACUGAGACACGGCCCAAACUCCUACGGGAGGCAGCAGUAGGGAAUCUUCCACAAUGGACGAAAGUCUGAUGGAGCAACSCCGCGUGAGUGAAGAAGGGUUUCGGCUCGUAAAACUCUGUUGUUAAAGAAGAACAUAUCUGAGAGUAACUGUUCAGGUAUUGACGGUAUUUAACCAGAAAGCCACGGCUAACUACGUGCCAGCMGCCGCGGUAAU
rnacentral:rRNA from 2 species